rnacentral:rRNA from 7 species
GGUGGUCCCACCUGACCCCAUGCCGAACUCAGAAGUGAAACGCCGUAGCGCCGAUGGUAGUGUGGGGUCUCCCCAUGCGAGAGUAGGGAACUGCCAGGCA